AAAGAUUUAGGUUAAAAAAACCAUAAGCCUUCAAAGCUUAAAACAUAAUAUAUAUUUAUAAUCUUUA
rnacentral:tRNA from 1 species